rnacentral:misc_RNA from 1 species
AAAAAUUUUAAAUUUUAAUUAUUAACUAGGACAACAUUCGGACAAUAAACCAUUUAGGUUCAAUGCUAUUCAAUACGUCAGCUAUUUCAAAGUAAUAAUCCUUGAUCAAAUCAAAGCCAAGUGAUACAAAUGGCCUGCACAUCUAGGCACAAAGGCUGCUGCCCUAAUCCAUCAUCAAAGCUACCAAAUUUAUGCAGACAACUACAACGGGAUUCAGGUUCCAGUUCACUCACAAUAGGAUAUCUCGGUCCACUCAGAACAUGUUGACCCUACCCAAUAAUUCAAUCAAUGAUUUGAGACCCUAACCUAAUGGAAAAUUCAUAACAGGAUUAUCAGAACUCUGCCCACUGCACCAACCAUAUGAUCCACAUUACACAAAAGGAUGUGAAAUUUUUUAACAGCACCAAGUUUACAUUUAAUAAAAUUAUAUUCCUGGUUGCUCUAUUCUUUGGAUGUAAGAGCUACACAGA